GGGAUAUGUAUUCACUUAGCAUUGACUUUUGGGAGGGGCCAAGGAAAAGCUGUAGUUUUAUUGAAUAGGGCUGUGUGUGAGGCUGCUGGUGUGCCUUUCUUGCUGUGCUCCUGCCUAAGCAGCCAGUUAUUCAUUUCCUUCCUACUAGUUGAAAACUUUUCAGCCGCAGAGUGAUCACCUCUAUUUUCUGGAGUCGUCAUUUUGAAUUCAUCAGCAGCUGGUUUGUUACUGAAAACCUCAGAAUAUUUCCUCUGCUUGCCUUCCUAUUUGGAUCUUUCCAGAGCUUUGAACGCUUGAACACCCACCAUGGAUGACUUUGAACGCCGCAGAGAACUCAGGAGGCAAAAGCGUGAGGAAAUGCGCCUUGAAGCAGAGAG